CCUACGGGAGGCAGCAGUGAGGAAUAUUGGUCAAUGGUCGGGAGACUGAACCAGCCAAGCCGCGUGAGGGAUGAAGGUACAGAGUAUCGUAAACCUCUUUUGUCAGGGAACAAAGGCGGGGACGUGUCCCCGGAUGAGUGUACCUGAAGAAAAAGCAUCGGCUAACUCCGUGCCAGCAGCCGCGGUAAUACGGAGGAGGCGAGUGUUAUCCGGAUUUAUGGGGUUAAAAGGGUGCGCAGGCGGUCUGUUAAGUCAGCGGUCAAAGCCCGGGGCUCAACCCCGGCCCGCCGUUGAAACUGGCAGUCUCGAGUUGGAUAGAGGUAUGCGGAAUGCGCGGUGUAGCGGUGAAAUGCAUAGAUAUCGCGCAGAACUCCGAUUGCGAAGGCAGCAUGCCGGCUCCACACUGACGCUGAGGCACGAAAGCGUGGGUAUCGAACAGGAUUAGAUACCCUGGUAGUC
rnacentral:rRNA from 1 species